UACGAAGGGGGCUAGCGUUGCUCGGAAUGACUGGGCGUAAAGGGCGCGUAGGCGGAUGGCACAGUCAGAUGUGAAAUUCCCGGGCUUAACCUGGGGGCUGCAUUUGAUACGUGUGAUCUAGAGUGAGGAAGAGGGUCGUGGAAUCCCCAGUGUAGAGGUGAAAUUCGUAGAUAUUGGGAAGAACACCCGUGGCGAAGGCGGCACUCUGGGACGGUACUGACGCUGAGACGCGAAAGCGUGGGGAGCGAACAGG
rnacentral:rRNA from 1 species